ACGGCCACAUCACGUUGAAACACCGGCUCUCGAUCCCCGAAAUUAAGCAAUGUAGGGCCUAGUCAGUACUCGACAGAUGACCACUUGGGAAGACCAGGUACUGUAAG